CAAGUCGAACGAGACUUUUUAUUUGAUGCUUGCAUCUUUUAAAAAGUUGAGCGGUUAACGGGUGAGUAACACGUGGGUAACCUGCCUUAAAGCGGGGGAUAACACUUGGAAACAGGUGCUAAUACCGCAUAACCAUCAAAACCGCCUGGUUUUGAUGUUAAAGAUGGUUCUGCUAUCGCUUUAAGAUGGACCCGCGGCGUAUUAGCUAGUUGGUGAGGUAAUGGCUUACCAAGGCAAUGAUACGUAGCCGAACUGAGAGGUUGAUCGGCCACAUUGGGACUGAGACACGGCCCAAACUCCUACGGGAGGCAGCAGUAGGGAAUCUUCCACAAUGGACGAAAGUCUGAUGGAGCAACGCCGCGUGAGUGAAGAAGGUUUUCGGAUCGUAAAACUCUGUUGUCAGAGAAGAACGUGUGUGAGAGUAACUGUUCACGCAGUGACGGUAUCUGACCAGAAAGUCACGGCUAACUACGUGCCAGCAGCCGCGGUAAUACGUAGGUGGCAAGCGUUGUCCGGAUUUAUUGGGCGUAAAGGGAACGCAGGCGGUCUUUUAAGUCUGAUGUGAAAGCCUUCGGCUUAACCGAAGUCGGGCAUUGGAAACUGGGAGACUUGAGUGCAGAAGAGGAGAGUGGAACUCCAUGUGUAGCGGUGAAAUGCGUAGAUAUAUGGAAGAACACCAGUGGCGAAAGCGGCUCUCUGGUCUGUAACUGACGCUGAGGUUCGAAAGCGUGGGUAGCAAACAGGAUUAGAUACCCUGGUAGUC
rnacentral:rRNA from 1 species